GUACUCGCUUUGGAGCACAUAUACUAAAAUUGGAUCGAUACAGAGAAGAUUAGCAUGGCCUCACCGAAGGAUGACCACGCAUAUGUGAGCGCUCCUUAUUUUC